rnacentral:rRNA from 1 species
UACAGAGGGUGCGAGCGUUGUCCGGAAUCACUGGGCGUAAAGGGCGCGUAGGCGGCUCGGUCAGCGUGCGGUGAAAGCCCGGGGCUCAACCCCGGGUCGGCCGUGCGAACUGCUGGGCUGGAGCACUGUAGAGGCAGGUGGAAUUCCGGGUGUAGCGGUGGAAUGCGUAGAGAUCCGGAAGAACACCGGUGGCGAAGGCAGGUCUCUGGGCUGACACUGACGCUCAUGCACGAAAGCGUGGGGAGCAAACAGG